CACCGCGGUUAUACGAGUGGGCCCAAGCUGACAGAACUCGGCGUAAAGGGUGGUUAAUAGCCUUUUUACUAAAGCCAAACAUCUUCAGAGCUGUCAUAAGCUUAUGAAGGCAGGAAGCCCCCCUACGAAAGUGGCUUUAAAACUUAUGACCCCACGAAAGCUAGGGCA
rnacentral:rRNA from 1 species